AUGACUGCCUGCAAGCAGAGCGCAUCCACGGGCGCCGCCGCCACGUACGAGGCCGACAGAAAGUCGGCAGCAAAGAGCGAUGGAGCGGAGGAGCGGAAGCCCUCGACCAAGUGCAGGAAGGGGAAGAAGGCCAAGGGCAAGUUGGCGGUGAAGAGCAAUGGUGCGGAGAAGCCCAAGACCCAUGACCUUUCCGAUGUUACACGCGGGUUGGCGGUGAUGAGCAUUGCAACGGAGAAGCCAUUGGAUGAACAGCUCGCCCAGUUCGCCCUGUUCACCUACCAGAACGACUUCUGGAUGGACAACUUCAAAGGCGUCUAUGACAAGCCGUCCGUAGAUGCUAUUAAAAGGAAAGCUACUGAAAACUGGAAAUCCUUUAGCGAUUCGGACAAAGCCCCUUAUGUGGCCAUUGCACGUGUUUACAAAAUACUCAUUGCCGAGGCAAAUGAGUUCAAGAAGGUUGAGACAAAGGCCUAG
rnacentral:rRNA from 1 species